rnacentral:lncRNA from 1 species
AGGAAAUGAAUCUUCACAGGGAAGGAAGCAACAAAACUCUGCCUUUGGCUUUUGCUGGCUGAGCAGGGAAAGGCCUAUAGACACAGAGCAUUGGGCAAGAGCUAGAACAGCCCUCCCUAGAGCACCACAUAAAGCAGCCAAUAUUUUGCAAAGCACAGGGAAGAGUGAAAGUCAUCCGGGGCAUUUGCAGACACAACACUAAGAACUUGGUGACAACAGCCCUGAAGCAAAACACCAGUAUGUACUGGGUAGGGCUUGGGAGAUAAGACAGGACAUCUGAAGCUAAACAUGGAUCCCCUCUGAAAGCUACAAUCAAAGUGUCAUCCACAAAAUCUUAUCUCAAGCCUUGACUAGAGAAGGACCCACUUCCAGGAUCACAUAGUUGAAUGAAUUCAGUCUUUGCAGCCCGUUGAACUGAGGGCCUCCCCAACAUGCUCACCUGCUUCAUCAAAGUCUGCGAGAGAGAGAGUCCACUAGCAAGAGGACAUUGCAGUCUUAUCUAAUGCAAUCACUGAAGUGACAUCCAGUCACCUUGGUCACCUUUUCUAUUCUAUUCAUUAUAAAUGAGUCCCAAGUCCUGCCACACUCAAGUAGAGGGGAUUACCCAGGGCUGGAGUACCAGCGGUGGGGAUAAUUCGGGGUCAUCUUAGAGUUCUUCCAUCACACAGGAAUUCUCAGCUCACCAAAUCUGGGAUUCUGCAUCUGGCUAUUCCUGAAGCUGAAGGCCUGGCAUAUUUUUGAGUGUCCAUUUGGAUCAGCUAAUAAACCCAGGGUUUGUCUACUGGCUGGAGGAGUAAGAACUAUAAGGCUAAUUGAAAUGACUCUACUUAAAAUAGUGACCUGAUUUUUCUAAUAAUUACUGGAAGGUAAGGGUUGAUUGAGACUUUAAAAUAAAACCAAAAAUUAUUCUAAAUUUUUCAUAUUUUAUGUAAGAAAGUUUUGAUUUUUACUGCAACCAUUUUCUAACUCUUAAAAUAAAGGAUAAUUCAAGCAUUGAUAUUUUCCCAACAUAAAUAUACAGGAACAUAAUGUAGCUUACUUGUAUUUUAUCUUUGAUUUACACAAAGAGAAUUUUUAUACAAAUAUUCUGGGCUCAUUAGUUUUCCCAAAGGCUUCUCAUAAUCCUUUGAUAUUUAAAUCAUUCCCUUUCAAGUCAUUUUUUAUCUGCCUUGUCGGUACUCUUUUUGAUAAUUUGCCCAACUCAUCUGGAUCUUCCUUUGUCACUGGCUCUGUAAAUUUGGGUAUUUCUCCAAUAAUGCUCCUGUCAACUUUAUGAAAUCCUUUGUCUUUUGCAAGAUUUAAAAAUUCCCUUUAUAAUAAGCAUUCUACAGUAAGUGAAGACUCACUAGCAAAUAUAUGAGUGAUGGAUCAAGAGAGACAAAGUGUUAAAAAUUGAGAGAUGCAACUUUUAAAAAUGAAAUUCUUGGUUACAAUCUAACAAAGUAAGUACAGGACCUGUAUGCUGAAAACUACAAAACACUAAUGAAGGAAUCAAAGAAGGUGUAAAUAAAUGGAGAGAUAUACCAUGUUCAUGAAUUGGAAGUCUCAGAAUUAUUAAAACAUAAAUUCUAUCCAAAUUGAUCUAUAGAUUCAACCCAAUCACAAUCAGAAUCCUAACUGGCUAUAUAAAUUGACAAGCUGAUUCCAACAUUCAUAUAAAAAUCCAAAGAAUAUAGAAGAGCCAAACAGCUUUGAGAAAAGGAGAAAAAAGUUAAAGGAUUCACAUUAUCUGAUUCCAAGACUUCUUAUAAAGCUACAGUCAUCGAGUCAGUAUGGUACUGGCAAAAGGAGAGACACAUUUUAUGUAUCUAUCUGUCUAUAUAUCUAUGUGGAAUGUAAUAGAGUUCAGAAAUAGAUCCACAAAUAAGAUCAAUUGAAUUUUGACAAAGAUGAAAAAAUAAUUCAAUGGAGAAAGGACAGAAUUUUCAAUAAACGAUGCUGAAACAAUUAGACAUCCAUAUGCAGGAAAAAAAUGUUUGACCUAUAUGUUCAUUUUAUACAAAAAAUUAAUUCAAAAAGAAUCAUAGACCUAAAUGUAAAAUAUAAAAACUUUUAAACUUUUAAAAUAAAAUAUAGGUAAAAUCUUCAUGACCUACAGUUAGGCAGAGUUCUUGGAGAUGACAUCAAGAAUUUAACUCAU